GAUUAGAAGUAUUUCGACGGUUCCUUCUUGUCAGAAGGAUUAAAAGGGAACGAAGUGCGGAUUACGGUCCAAUGCUUCGGCUGUCCCCGCAACUGUAAGCGGUAUGUCUGUGCGUCGCCGGAUAUCAUGGUCCGGACCACUGGGAACACUCAUCCCGGGAAGGUUAUGCAGGACGUGAUGCCGCAAGCCAGGAGACCUGCCGUCUGCAUUGGUUGCGA
rnacentral:ncRNA from 2 species